rnacentral:rRNA from 1 species
AUGAACGCUGGCGGCGUGCCUAAUACAUGCAAGUCGAGCGAACGGACGAGAAGCUUGCUUCUCUGAUGUUAGCGGCGGACGGGUGAGUAACACGUGGAUAACCUACCUAUAAGACUGGGAUAACUUCGGGAAACCGGAGCUAAUACCGGAUGAUAUUUUGAACCGCAUGGUUCAAAAGUGAAAGACGGUCUUGCUGUCACUUAUAGAUGGAUCCGCGCCGCAUUAGCUAGUUGGUAAGGUAACGGCUUACCAAGGCAACGAUGCAUAGCCGACCUGAGAGGGUGAUCGGCCACACUGGAACUGAGACACGGUCCAGACUCCUACGGGAGGCAGCAGUAGGGAAUCUUCCGCAAUGGGCGAAAGCCUGACGGAGCAGCGCCGCGUGAGUGAUGAAGGUCUUUGGAUCGUAAAACUCUGUUAUUAGGGAAGAACAUAUGUGUAAGUAACUGUGCACAUCUUGACGGUACCUAAUCAGAAAGCCACGGCUAACUACGUG